GUCACACCUACUGUGAGUAAUAGCAUUUUUAUUUUUAUAGUAGCAUUUCGGAUUGUUUGAAAUAUUUUUAUAAAGGCAGAGAAAAUUAGCAAAUUGUUUUAUUCAUGUAUCUCUCCAUAAUCCUGGGUCAUUGAACUAAAGGAAGCUGAUCUCAGUCUACCCUAGCCACGGUUCCCGUCCAUUGCACCUUAAAAGGUGGACAGUGGAACUGAUCACCACUUGUAACACAAAAUAGAAAAGACAAAAAAA